AGUUUGAUCCUGGCUCAGAUUGAACGCUGGCGGCAGGCCUAACACAUGCAAGUCGAGCGGAAGAAGGGAGCUUGCUCCCGGNAUUCAGCGGCGGACGGGUGAGUAACACCUGGGAAUCUGCCUGGUAGUGGGGGAUAACGUUCGGAAACGGGCGCUAAUACCGCAUACGUCCUACGGGAGAAAGCAGGGGAUCUUCGGACCUUGCGCUAUCAGAUGAGCCCAGGUCGGAUUAGCUAGUAGGUGAGGUAAUGGCUCACCUAGGCGACGAUCCGUAACUGGUCUGAGAGGAUGAUCAGUCACACUGGAACUGAGACACGGUCCAGACUCCUACGGGAGGCAGCAGUGGGGAAUAUUGGACAAUGGGGGAAACCCUGAUCCAGCCAUGCCGCGUGUGUUAAGAAGGUCUUCGGAUUGUAAAGCACUUUAAGUUGGGAGGAAGGGUUGUUGGCUAAUAUCCAGCAAUUUUGACGUUACCGACAGAAUAAGCACCGGCUAACUCUGUGCCAGCAGCCGCGGUAAUACAGAGGGUGCAAGCGUUAAUCGGAAUUACUGGGCGUAAAGCGCGCGUAGGUGGUUCAGUAAGAUGGGUGUGAAAUCCCCGGGCUUAACCUGGGAACUGCUUUCAUAACUGCUGAGCUGGAGUACGGUAGAGGGUAGUGGAAUUUCCUGUGUAGCGGUGAAAUGCGUAGAUAUAGGAAGGAACACCAGUGGCGAAGGCGACUACCUGGACUGAUACUGACACUGAGGUGCGAAAGCGUGGGGAGCAAACAGGAUUAGAUACUCUGGUAGUCCACGCCGUAAACGAUGUCAACUAGCCGUUGGAAUCCUUGAGAUUUUAGUGGCGCAGCUAACGCACUAAGUUGACCGCCUGGGGAGUACGGUCGCAAGAUUAAAACUCAAAUGAAUUGACGGGGGCCCGCACAAGCGGUGGAGCAUGUGGUUUAAUUCGAAGCAACGCGAAGAACCUUACCUGGCCUUGACAUGUUGAGAACUUUCCAGAGUUGGUUGGUGCCUUCGGGAACUCAGACACAGGUGCUGCAUGGCUGUCGUCAGCUCGUGUCGUNAGAUGUUGGGUUAAGUCCCGUAACGAGCGCAACCCUUGUCCUUAGUUACCAGCACAUUAUGGUGGGCACUCUAAGGAGACUGCCGGUGACAAACCGGNGGAAGGUGGGGAUGACGUCAAGUCAUCAUGGCCCUUACGGCCAGGGCUACACACGUGCUACAAUGGGGGAUACAAAGGGUUGCCAAGCCGCGAGGUGGAGCUAAUCCCAUAAAGUCUCUCGUAGUCCGGAUUGGAGUCUGCAACUCGACUCCAUGAAGUCGGAAUCGCUAGUAAUCGUGGAUCAGAAUGCCACGGUGAAUACGUUCCCGGGCCUUGUACACACCGCCCGUCACACCAUGGGAGUGGGUUGCACCAGAAGUAGCUAGUCUAACCUUCGGGAGGACGGUUACCACGGUGUGAUUCAUGACUGGGGUGAAGUCGUAACAAGGUAGCCGUAGGGGAACCUGCGGCUGGAUCACCUCCUU
rnacentral:rRNA from 2 species